AAAAAUACCAAAUGAUGAAAUAAAAAAUAUUAAAAAUCAGAAAUAGAAACUAGAAUUUAUUUGGAAAAUAAUGCAAUUGGUCCCAUAAUUUUUGGAUUAAAAAUGAAAAAGAUAUUGAUUUUUGAAAAUAAGUGGAAUUAAAGGAAAUAAAAACAGAAAAUAGAAAUUAGAAAAAAACCAGGAGCGUCUGAUGGAACUCAUUAAUUAACAUGGCAACAUCUAAUGGUCCAGAAGCG
rnacentral:lncRNA from 1 species